rnacentral:rRNA from 1 species
AGCAGCCGCGGUAAUUCCAGCUCCAAUAGCAUAUAUUAAAAUUGUUGCAGUUAAAAAGCUCGUAGUUGAAUUUCAGGCCUGGCCGGAUGGUCCGUUUUCAUGCGAGUACUGUCUUGUUGUCAGGCCUUCUUUUCUGGUGAACCAGUAUCCUCUUCAUUGGGUGUGUUGGGGAACCAUAAUCAUUACCUUGAAAAAAUUAGAGUGCCCAACGCAGGCGAUUGCUUGAAUAGAUUAGCAUGGAAUAAUAAAAUAGGACGUGUGGUCCUAUUUUGUUGGUUUUAGGACCACCGUAAUGAUUAAUAGGGAUAGGCGGGGGCAUUAGUAUUCAAUUGUCAGAGGUGAAAUUCUUGGAUUUAUUGAAGACUAACUAUUGCGAAAGCAUUUGCCAAGGAUGUUUUCAUUAAUCAAGAACGAAAGUUAGGGGAUCGAAGACGAUUAGAUACCGUCGUAGUCUUAACCCGACUAGGAAUCGGGCGAAGUUAUUUGACGACUCACUCGGCGCCUUACGG